CCUACGGGAGGCAGCAGUGGGGAAUAUUGCACAAUGGGGGAAACCCUGAUGCAGCGACGCCGCGUGAGUGAAGAAGUAUCUCGGUACGUAAAGCUCUAUCAGCAGGGAAGCAAAUGCCGGUACCUGACUAAGAAGCACCGGCUAACUACGUGCCAGCAGCCGCGGUAAUACGUAGGGGGCAAGCGUUAUCCGGAUUUUCUGGGUGUAAAGGGAGCGUAGGCGGCAGCACAAGUCUGGAGGGAAAUGCCGGGGCUUAAACCCGGAACUGCUUUUGAAACUGGGCGGCUGGAGUGCAGGAGGGGUAAGGGGAAUUCCUAGUGUAGCGGUGAAAUGCGGAGAUAUUAGGAGGAACACCGGUGGCGAAGGCAGCUUGCUGGACUGUAACUGACGUUGAGGCUCGAAAGCGUGGGGAGCGAACAGGAUUAGAUACCCGAGUAGUC
rnacentral:rRNA from 1 species